rnacentral:rRNA from 1 species
GACGAACGCUGGCGGCGUGCUUAACACAUGCAAGUCGAACGGAAAGGCCCUGCUUUUGUGGGUUUCUCGAGUGGCGAACGGGGGAGAAAAACGUGAGUAACCUCCCCUUGUAUUAGUGAUAACUCCAGGAAACUGGGGCUAAAACAGCAUAGAAGCUAUUGCACCGUGUUGGGGGUUGGAAAGUUUCGGCGGUGGGGGAUAGACUCGCGGGUUACCCGCUGGUUGGGGAGGUAGUUGCUUACCAAGCUUUUGACGGGUAGGCGGCCUGGGCGGGUUGCCGGGCACAAGGGGACUGAGGUACGGCCCAGAAGCGUACGGGACGCAGCAGGGGAGAAUAUGGCACAGUGAGCGCGAGCGUGAUGUAGCAGCGCCGCGUGCGUGAUGAUGGCCUUCGGGGGGUAAACCGCUGUCGACGGUGACGAAGCGGGAGUGACGGUAAUGGGUAAAGAAGCACCGGCUAACUACGUG